CCUAAAAUCAAAUACGUUUUAUUACAUUUUACAUUGAUACUUUUGAACAAUAUGGCUUAACCAAAGACAAUAAAAACACUAAGCUUUAGCAUCGGCUCAUCAACAAGCCGCAACUUUCGCAAUCGUUCGUCUGGCUUUUGGAGAGCGUACAGCCAGUCGCAAAGUGAGAAAAGCCAAAUGAAAAGCCAGGCUAGAUAAAUUGCUCUCACUCUUCUUAAUGUUUAUAUUGUCUUUGUCUCUAACGCACUUAUGAAAAUCGGCAAUGCAGUAAUUUUGAUUGGUGGCAUCAACUGUGAACGGAAUGGCUGAAAAUCGAAGAACAAAAUAAUUAAACAUUAAUAAAAUACUUAAAAUUAGAAAUAAACAUUUCCCACCAUCCAAACUAUUUCCGCACACAACACAAGUGAAGCAUUGGGGAUGAUAGGGCUUGCCGGUUGCCCUCAGAAUGCGCUCCAAAAUAGGUUUCAA